CCGAGUUUUACAAACUCCCAAACCCCUGUGAAACAUACCACUUGUUGCCUCGGCGGAUCAGCCCGCUCCCGGUAAAACGGGACGGCCCGCCAGAGGACCCCUAAACUCUGUUUUCUAUAUGUAAACUUCUGAGUAAAAACCAUAAAUAAAUCAA
rnacentral:misc_RNA from 1 species